ACGGCGAGUGAAGCGGCAAAAGCUCAGAUUUGAAAUCUGGCGUCUUCGACGUCCGAGUUGUAAUCUGUAGAGGAUGACUUUGGGUAGCCACCGGUCUAAGUCCCCUGGAACGGGGUGUCACAGAGGGUGAGAAUCCCGUAUGUGACCGGAAGGGCGCCCUAUACAUGUCUCCUUCGACGAGUCGAGUUGUUUGGGAAUGCAGCUCUAAAUGGGAGGUAAAUUCCUUCUAAAGCUAAAUACCGGCCAGAGACCGAUAGCGCACAAGUAGAGUGAUCGAAAGAUGAAAAGCACUUUGGAAAGAGAGUUAAAAAGCACGUGAAAUUGUUGAAAGGGAAGCGCUUGCAACCAGACUUGUUGGCGGUGUUCCGCCGGUCUUCUGACCGGUCUACUCACCGUCUGCAGGCCAGCAUCAUCUGGGGCCGCUGGAUAAAAGCGGAGGGAAUGUGGCUCCUCCGGGAGUGUUAUAGCCCUCCGUGCAAUACAGCGAGCCCCGGGUGAGGUCCGCGCUUCGGCUAGGAUGCUGGCGUAAUGGUCGUAAGCGGCCCGUCUUGAAACACGGACCAAGGAGUCUAACAUCUAUGCGAGUGUUCGGGUGUCAAACCCCUACGCGUAAUGAAAGUGAACGGAGGUGGGAACCUUUUAGGUGCACCAUCGACCGAUCCUGAUGUCUUCGGAUGGAUUUGAGUAAGAGCAUAGCUGUUGGGACCCGAAAGAUGGUGAACUAUGCCUGGAUAGGGUGAAGCCAGAGGAACUCUGGUGGAGGCUCGCAGCGGUUCUGACGUG
rnacentral:rRNA from 1 species